UCACGCCAUGCAUUUUCUACACA
rnacentral:siRNA from 1 species